AUGGAGCUUUCUCCCUCCCAGUCCUGAAAUAGGGCAGACCAUGCCCUGAGGAGAAGCAGCAGAGGACGGGACACUGU
rnacentral:pre_miRNA from 12 species